AGUAGUGUGAUGGGGAAGCCACCGGAGCAGGUGCACUCGUGCCCACUACCGUGGUCUUUAGAAGACGACUGGUGCCGUGGUGUGUCGAAUAUCUGUGGGAAUUGGCCAGUUGCAGGCGAGCUACUACUACCUGGAACAGAACCUGCCCCAACAACCUCAUCGGCCCCUGUGGGUUUGGUUGGAGGCUGUUGCUUUGCUCACCCCCUCCACUCUCAUUCUCACACACAGCCAUUCAGUAAGCCUUGGCUUAUGGACUACUUUCAUGAACAAAAGAAAAUGUCCUAUAGUGUGUUGUGACUGUCCUUAAAUCUGAGUACUCCUCAAUUUGUUGCUGUAUUUUGUUUAUUGUUUCUGUGAACUACUGAGUCAACGGAACUGAAUUGGAACUGAAAAAAGUGUACUUUAUCAAAACCAACAUUUCUGCAGAUUGUUAAUAUUUUGGGUAUUAUUUUUGUUUCCACAUAAAAUAUGGUACCAACACCAAAAAAA